rnacentral:rRNA from 1 species
GACGAACGCUGGCGGCGUGCUUAACACAUGCAAGUCGAACGAUGAAGCCUAGCUUGCUAGGUGGAUUAGUGGCGAACGGGUGAGUAAUACGUGAGUAACCUACCUUUAACUCUGGGAUAAGCCUGGGAAACUGGGUCUAAUACCGGAUACGACCAAUCUCCGCAUGGGGUGUUGGUGGAAAGCGUUAUGUAGUGGUUAUAGAUGGGCUCACGGCCUAUCAGCUUGUUGGUGAGGUAACGGCUCACCAAGGCGACGACGGGUAGCCGGCCUGAGAGGGUGACCGGCCACACUGGGACUGAGACACGGCCCAGACUCCUACGGGAGGCAGCAGAGGGGAAUAUUGCACAAUGGGCGCAAGCCUGAUGCAGCGACGCCGCGUGAGGGAUGACGGCCUUCGGGUUGUAAACCUCUGUUAGCAGGGAAGAAGAGAGAUUGACGGUACCUGCAGAGAAAGCGCCGGCUAACUACGUG